AGAUGGCUUUAGCUAUCACUCUGGGAUGGACCUGCGGUGCAUUAGCUAGUUGGUAAGGUAACGGCUUACCAAGGCGAUGAUGCAUAGCCGAGUUGAGAGACUGAUCGGCCACAAUGGAACUGAGACACGGUCCAUACUCCUACGGGAGGCAGCAGUAGGGAAUCUUCCACAAUGGGCGCAAGCCUGAUGGAGCAACACCGCGUGAGUGAAGAAGGGUUUCGGCUCGUAAAGCUCUGUUGUUGGAGAAGAACGUGCGUGAGAGUAACUGUUCACGCAGUGACGGUAUCCAACCAGAAAGUCACGGCUAACUACGUGCCAGCAGCCGCGGUAAUACGUAGGUGGCAAGCGUUAUCCGGAUUUAUUGGGCGUAAAGCGAGCGCAGGCGGUUGCUUAGGUCUGAUGUGAAAGCCUUCGGCUUAACCGAAGAAGUGCAUCGGAAACCGGGCGACUUGAGUGCAGAAGAGGACAGUGGAACUCCAUGUGUAGCGGUGGAAUGCGUAGAUAUAUGGAAGAACACCAGUGGCGAAGGCGGCUGUCUGGUCUGCAACUGACGCUGAGGCUCGAAAGCAUGGGUAGCGAACAGGAUUAGAUACCCUGGUAGUCCAUGCCGUAAACGAUGAGUGCUAGGUGUUGGAGGGUUUCCGCCCUUCA
rnacentral:rRNA from 1 species